UACUUUUUAUGGUACUUUUAUAGUUUAAUAGGGAAAGUGGUGUAAGCCCACUACAGCCCCCGCUACUGUAACGGAGACGAAUUUUAACCACUGAAGCUUUGUGCUUUGGGAAGGUAAAAGGAGAUUGACCCGUAAGUCAGGAGACCUGCCGUAAAUC
rnacentral:ncRNA from 1 species